AUGUUGUACUGCUGAUAUAGUAGCUAUCUCAGCAACAAAUUGAUCUUUCCCCUGGUUUGAUGCUACUGAAAGUUGUUUCACAGCUACAACUCUCCCAUCAGAAAGUGUACCCUAAAGUGUACUAUGAUUUAGUAAUGCUAUGUAAUAAAUCAUCCUCUGGAUAAUUUCAUCAUUGUAUGACAAGCAAGUUAGCAUGCUAAAAAUGUUUGACAUUGUUUACCUUGUACACAGGUCCGAACCCCCCUUCUCCUAACUUAUUUGAAGGACUGAAGUCUUCAGUGGCAGCUUUUAACUCUGAAUAAGUAAAUGUGUUUGGUCUAGGGCUGAUACCAAG
rnacentral:lncRNA from 1 species